UGAAUCCGCGCGGGAGAGUCCCCAGCAGCAGUUUUCGCCGGGGCGCCGAAGGAGCAAGUCCCUCCCUUGAAUCUCUCAGGCCCCGUUACCGCGCGGGCGAG
rnacentral:ncRNA from 1 species